rnacentral:rRNA from 1 species
UGAGGUGUGGAUAGGGGAGAAAUUCCAAUCGAACCCGGAGAUAGCUGGUUCUCCUCGAAAUAGCUUUAGGGCUAGCCUCGAUACAGAUUUGCGGAGGUAGAGCACUGAAUUUCCUAGGGGGCGUCAAAGCCUACCGAAGAAUAUCAAACUCCGAAUGCCGCGUAAUCGAUUAUCGGGAGUCAGACUGCACGAGAUAAGUUGGGCGGUCAAAAGGGAAAGAGCCCAGACCUUCAGUUAAGGUCCCCAAGUGCGCGUUAAGUGGAAAAGGAUGUGGGAUUUCGAAGACAACCAGGAUGUUGGCUCAGAAGCAGCCAUCCAUUCAAAGAGUGCGUAAUAGCUCACUGGUCGAGAGGUCCUGCGCCGAAAAUGUCCGGGGCUGAAACGCGCCACCGAAACUAAGGAACCGAAAGGUUGGUAGAGGAGCAUUGCAUGCGGAACGAAGCAGUACCGUAAGGAGCUGUGGACUGCAUGGAAGAGAGAAUGCCGGAAUGAGUAGCGAGAAUAAGGUGAGAAUCCUUAUGGCCGAAUAUCCAAGGUUUCCAGAGUAAAGCUGAUCUGCUCUGGGUAAGUCGGGGCCUAAGGCGAGGACGAGAGUCGUAGCCGAUGGACAACAGGUGGAGAUUCCUGUACUGCGGUAUGACAGAACUGUGGGGACACGUAAGGAAAGCGGAAGCCGGGAAUGGAAAGCCCGGUGCAAGCGGGGUACCAGUCACUUUGGCAAAUCCGGGUGGCAAUGGGAAGCCGUGAUGCGGAGUGAAAUAAAGUAACGAAGUCCGUGAGCCAUGCGUCAAGAAAAGCCGCUAUUGUUUAUACCGUACCCGUACCGUAAACCGACACAGGUGGAUGAGGAGAGAAUCCUAAGGCCGGCGGAAGAAGCAUUGUCAAGGAACUCGGCAAAAUGGCCCCGUAACUUAGGGAUAAGGGGUGCCUGGGAAACCAGGCCGCAGAGAAUAGGCUCAAGCAACUGUUUAGCAAAAACACAGGUCUAUGCGAAACCGAAAGGUGAGGUAUAUGGGCUGACGCCUGCCCGGUGCUGGAAGGUUAAGAGGAGAGGUUAGCGCAAGCGAAGCUUUGAAUUUAAGCCCCAGUAAACGGCGGCCGUAACUAUAACGGUCCUAAGGUAGCGAAAUUCCUUGUCGGGUAAGUUC